rnacentral:pre_miRNA from 1 species
UUUAAGUGCAACCAUGAGUUUCCAUGUCCAACUUUGAUCGUCCGUUUUAUUUGAAUUUUUUUUAUAAUUAGUAUUUUUGUUGUUAUGAGAUGAUAAAAUAUGAACAAUACUUUAUUCAUGACUUAUGUUUUUAAAUUUUUUUAAAUAAGACGGACGAUUAAAAUUGGGCACGGAAAAUUAUGGCUAUACUUAAA